rnacentral:sRNA from 1 species
CUUCGCUGCCAGCCGUCGCCCGACGAGGCGCGCCCGCUGCAGGCGCUGCUGGACGGCCGCGGGCUCUGCGUCAACGCUAGUGCCGUCAGCCGCCUGCGCGCCUACCUGCUGCCAGCGCCGCCAGCUCCAGGAAAUGCGAGUGAGUCGGAGGAAGACCGCAGCGCCGGCAGUGUAGAGAGCCCGUCCGUCUCCAGCACGCACCGGGUGUCUGAUCCCAAGUUCCACCCCCUCCAUUCAAAGAUCAUCAUCAUCAAGAAAGGGCAUGCUAAAGACAGCCAGCGCUACAAAGUUGACUACGAGUCUCAGAGCACAGAUACCCAGAACUUCUCCUCCGAGUCCAAGCGGGAGACAGAAUAUGUGAGAGCUUUUCCUCUUGUUAAAGGAGGAGGGCAAGACCUGCCAAGCCUGGGUACUCAGAGCCUCUUGAGGGCAAUUCUUACUCAACAAACCCCAGCGUCUGGCUGAUGGGUGGGCAACCCCUAGCCCCUCUGUGCCCUACCUCUCUCCUCUCCUUACAUAAAGAAUAUUGACCCUUUUGGAGAAUCUUAUGAGGAUCAAGCUGAAAUAACACUCU